rnacentral:lncRNA from 1 species
GGAGCUGGGGACCGAACCCAGGGCCUUGUGCUUGCUAGGCAAGCGCUCUACCACUGAGCUAAAUCCUCAACCCCUCAACAUCCUUUCUUACCUUCUCAAAGUGCUGGGAAUUCAGGCAUAUGCUGCCAUAGCUGGCUUGAACGUCCUGUUUAUAACUAUCCAAGUCUCACGUUCCAUUCUGAGACUUCAAACUGUUUUGAGGAUGAGUUGUUGCUUGGUUUGGUGUUUUGAGACAGGGUCUUUCAAUGUAGCCCUGGCUGUCCUGGAGCUUACUUUGUAGACCAGGCUGACCUUGGAACUUCCACCUGCCCUUGCCUUCUGAGUACUGGAAUUAAAGGCUUGCCCUCACCAUGCCUAGCCCAAAUGGUUUCAAUUAAAAUUAAAAUUCAUGAAGCAGUUCUCUA